rnacentral:rRNA from 1 species
CCUACGGGAGGCUGCAGUAGGGAAUCUUCCACAAUGGGCGAAAGCCUGAUGGAGCAACGCCGCGUGGGUGAAGAAGGUCUUCGGAUCGUAAAACCCUGUUGUUAGAGAAGUAAGUUCGUGUGCGUAACUGUUCACGUCUCGACGGUAUCUAACCAGAAAGCCUCGGCUAAAUACGUGCCAGCAGCCGCGGUAAUACGUAGGUGGCAAGCGUUAUCCGGAUUUAUUGGGCGUAAAGGGAACGCAGGCGGUCUGUUAAGUCUGAUGUGAAAGCCUUCGGCUUAAACGGAGAAGUGCAUUGGAAACUGGGAGACUUGAGUGCAGGAGAGGGGAGUGGAA